rnacentral:rRNA from 1 species
UACGUAGGGGGCAAGCGUUGUCCGGAAUUAUUGGGCGUAAAGAGCGCGUAGGCGGUCCGAUAAGUCGGCUGUGAAAGUCAUGGGCUCAACCCAUGAAAGCCGGCCGAUACUGUCGGACUAGAGUCCGGAAGAGGCAAGUGGAAUUCCCGGUGUAGCGGUGAAAUGCGCAGAUAUCGGGAGGAACACCGAUGGCGAAGGCAGAUCUCUGGGCCGUAACUGACGCUGAGGAGCGAAAGCAUGGGGAGCGAACAGG